rnacentral:rRNA from 1 species
AGGAUGAACGCUGGCGGCGUGCCUAACACAUGCAAGUCGAACGUCCUGUCUCGCAAGAGGCAGGGAGUGGCGGACGGGUGAGUACCACGUGGGUCAUCUACCGUGAGGUGAGGAAUACCGGCGAGAAAUCGCCGACAAGACCGCAUAGCCUCGGUGCAAGCCGAGGAAAGCUCUUUCGAGAGAGGGAGCGCCACACGAGGAGCCUGCGCCCGAUUAGCUAGCUGGUGGAGUAACGGUUCACCAGGGCGACGAUCGGUAGCUGGUCUGAGAGGACGAUCAGCCACACUGGGAUUGAGAACGGCCCAGACUCCUACGGGGGGCAGCAGUGAGGAAUUUUCGUCAAUGGGGGCAACCCUGAACGAGCAACGCCGCGUGCAGGAAGAAGGUUUUCGGAUCGUAAACUGCUUUUCUCGGGGAAGAGAACGGACGGUACCCGAGGAAUCGAGCCCCGGCUAACCUACGUGCCAGCAGCCGCGGUAA